GAUGAACGCUGGCGGCGUGCCUAACACAUGCAAGUCGAACGAAUUACUUUAAAGGAAGUUUUCGGAUGGAAUUUAAAGUAGUUAGUGGCGGACGGGUGAGUAACGCGUGGGAAACCUGCCCUAUACAGGGGGAUAGCCUCGGGAAACUGGGAUUAAUACCCCAUAAAACUCUAGUAUCGCAUGAUACAUGAGCCAAAGAUUUAUCGGUAUAGGAUGGUCCCGCGUCUGAUUAGCUAGUUGGUGAGGUAACGGCUCACCAAGGCGACGAUCAGUAGCCGGCCUGAGAGGGUGAACGGCCACACUGGAACUGAGACACGGUCCAGACUCCUACGGGAGGCAGCAGUGGGGAAUAUUGCACAAUGGGGGAAACCCUGAUGCAGCGACGCCGCGUGAGCGAAGAAGGCCUUCGGGUCGUAAAGCUCUGUCCUAAGGAAGAAACGGACGGUACCUUAGGAGGAAGCCCCGGCUAACUACGUG
rnacentral:rRNA from 1 species